rnacentral:rRNA from 1 species
UACGUAGGGUGCAAGCGUUAAUCGGAAUUACUGGGCGUAAAGCGUGCGCAGGCGGUUGUGCAAGACCGAUGUGAAAUCCCCGGGCUUAACCUGGGAAUGGCAUUGGUGACUGCACGGCUAGAGUGUGUCAGAGGGGGGUAGAAUUCCACGUGUAGCAGUGAAAUGCGUAGAGAUGUGGAGGAACACCGAUGGCGAAGGCAGCCCCCCUGGGCUAACACUGACGCUCAUGCACGAAAGCGUGGGGAGCAAACAGG